CUCCACCCGGCCAGCACCCCAUCUUAUCUCUUAUCUCUUUCCCCCACACCACACACGCUCCCUCCGCCGCCGCCCCCUGACUUGCCGGCCGAUUUGCUCGCGCCGCCGCCUUUCCCACCAGCGAUGGCGCCUCCCACAGCCUCCUUCUAGCAUGUGGUGCUCCCCCCACGUUCCAAGCCGAAGGUGCCUCCUGAAGAUAGGACAAGAAAAGAGGGAGGCAGAUCCACCGCGACCAAGAGCAGGUCAGGCGGCGGCCAUGGCACGCCCAGAUCCGCCAGCGCCAUCGUCAUCGAGCACCUCUGCUCCGAGCGUCGGAUCCACCUCGGGCUCCAUCUACACAACCACGCACUGGCAGCCGCUGCCAUGGAAGGUUCUCUAUGUGCUUGCUUCUUCCCUUCCCAAGACGCUGUUGCUCCGACGCCAUGGAUAAUGUGCAGGACAGAGCCGCCAUAUGGUGUGCGCGGUGAUUCUUUUUCCACUCUGAUGCCUUCCGCGCUACGUGUCUGAUGGACCCGAUUUUACUUCCACUCCGACAUAGCUAAUGCAGAAAAUAUGAUAAUACCAGAGGAGGAAGCGAGCUUAGCAAAUGAUGAAUUAUAGAGGCUCUCAAAUAUUGGUGAAACAAGAGGAAGGUGAGAGGUCUUAUAGAACUGAAUAGGAUUCUUUUUAUAGAACUGUUAUCUAUGGUAUGAUGCUUGGUUCAAAAAUAAGAAGGGCUAGAAUGGGAGAAAGGGUCAUCAGUGUGAACUAAAAGUCUAUUGUUUUUCUUCUGGGUAUGCUUUGCAUUUUAUUGUCAUGUUUCAUGCUUCAUAGCGUGUGUAUGUGCAUAUAAUUACACACAUAUACACUAGUUUGUAAUGUCACUAUAAAUAGAUGAUUCAUCAGACCAUCAGAGUUUGCAUCAGACUAUAAUCGAUGAUGCAUCAAAUCGAAAGGAGGAUCAUCUGCUACAUCAGGCAUUUACAUGAUAGCUUGUUUCUAUGUGUACUGUGUAAUAUGAAGUAAAAAAAGUGUAGUUUGAUUCAGUGGCAUGCUUUACCAUUGAAUGAUCUUGAGCAACAUUGCACCAGCACGUGUCUGGGGUGGAAAAGGUCGGGAAAACUAUCCCAGAGUCCAGCCUGAACUUAUAUUCAAAGCAAUGGGUGUUGAGCCUGAUAUUAUGUUUGCUGGACAACUCGAAUCUAAAAGUGCAGGUCAAGAAACACCAGAACUAUUUAAUGUUUCUAUAUUUUUUAUUUACUCUGUCGUUUGUUUAUGUUUCCAGAUUACUGUCGAGAUGUAGCUCGUUUGGUUCAUAUAAAUCUUAUUCCAAGCCUUUAUAUAGUUGUUUUAGGUCUAAUAUUUCACAGCAUUUCGAAGCCAUUAAAGUUAUCAUUGACUUACACUGCACUGAACAUAUAAAAGUUAUCUUUUAUUUCACUCAAGUUUAACCUCAAGCCUAAGACUUAUUGGUCGAUAAGCACUGCUAAUGUUCAGAUUGAAAACAAAGCCCUAGAUCAGUGACAGAGUAACUAUCUGGUGCUUCAACCCAUCCAGAGAUGAAUUCUGCACCCGAGUUUCUUCCUUCUUGUUGAAAAAAGUUAAGGGGCCCCUCCUCAUGUUGUGUUGAUUUAUAGUGUCCAGAUUGGUUAAGUUCCACCUUGCUCGAUGAAAGAUCUGCUUAUAGUACUUGAGAAAGGAAUUAUCAGUUCCUAAAUUCGGCUCGAGAGUAAGUUAUUAUUAUGUUCUAUCAGAUCUAGUCCAUUAACAAAAUAGGAGUUGCUUCCUCUUUUGCAUUUAUGAUAAUUAGCGGAGUUGCAUGGUCUCACAAUGUUUAUGUGGUGGUUAGUUGCUCGGGCUUUUUUCUUGUAUUUCAAUACUAGAAAAUAGAAGAGGCUAUCAAUGUCAGCACAAAGCUGUUGGGCUAUAGCAAUGUAACUAAUCAAGUUUCACAACGGCCUGUUGGUUCUCAAUCGUUGUAGUUCAGAGCUGUAUGUUUAGUUUAAACUCGAGCUAACUCUGGCCGAUGUAGAUGGUUUCCAAUAUAAUGCUACAUAAUUUCCCCUUUUGUAUUCGUCACCCUUGUUUGGCACUACUUUUUUUAUCAGCAUAUGCAAACUUUCAUGUAACAUGCAAACUCUCAUGGAUCUGUACGUGUGUUUGUAAGAACUUGAAUGCUGGUUUGAUGAUUUAUUUUCUACGAAGUUGGGCAUAUAUUCAUGGCUGUUUCUUGAUAACAUUGCAUGUAACUGGGUUUCUUCAUUGCACUUAAAUAAGUCUGUUUUUAGCUUUGGCCUAUAUGCUGCCUAAUUAAACUUGAAAAUUAGAGAGAAACAAGAAAACUAGGAGAGAUGCAUAGAUUUAAUUAGAGAGGAAGUGCAAUCAAGUAUUUGUUUACUUUUUAUUUAAGCAAGACAGUUUGUUGAACAUCUUCUGUUUUUAGAUUUUUGGACUCAAGAGCAACUCAGAAGUUUGAACAAAUGCUGCUAUGAUAAUAUUGCUGAAACAUAUGAGUGAUUUUACAGGGUAUAAUGGCAGAAGGUAUCAAAUCGAAGAUGUUAUGGCUUUUCUUCAUGGGAUGCAUGGUCGACCUACUUUCAUAUGGAAGUUGUUGUUGGUUCGAUGAACAAAGACUUGGUGUGUUCCAUAGUGUUUUGUAUAGUGACUAGACAUGAGUCUCUUAUGAACUUAGCUCGUAUUUUGUAACAGGUCACAGCUUAUAUGUCGACCUAUGUAUUUCCUUAGUGGUUGUAGCUAACUUGAGUGAAGAAAACUAAUGAAUCUUCUAUAUGUUGAAUAUAUAUGUAUUUAUCAAUGGUAUCUUGUGAUGAAUACAAGAGUAUAAUUGUUUAUAUA